rnacentral:rRNA from 1 species
AGAGUUUGAUCCUGGCUCAGAGUGAACGCUGGCGGCAUGCCUAACACAUGCAAGUCGAACGAGCUUUGGCAGUUUAUCGUCAGAGUUAGUGGCAAACGGGUGAGUAAUACGUGGACAAUCUUCCCUCGAGCGGGGGAUAACUCCGGGAAACCGGAGCUAAUACCGCGUGAGACCACGUCCUGGCAUCAGGAUGGGGUUAAAGCUCCGCAAGGGGCGCUUGAGGAGGGGUUCACGGCCUAUCAGCUAGUUGGCGGGGUUAAAGCCCACCAAGGCGACGACGGGUAACCGGUCUGAAAGGACGACCGGUCACAAUGGCACUGAGACACGGGCCAUACUCCUACGGGAGGCAGCAGUGGGGAAUUUUGCGCAAUGGGGGAAACCCUGACGCAGCGAUGCCGCGUGGAGGACGAAGGUCUUCGGAUUGUAAACUCCUUUUGUCGGUGAAAAAUUUUCGCGUGAAUAGCGCGAAUUGAUUGUAUCCGGCGAAUAAGCCACGGCUAACUUCGUGCCAGCAGCCGCGGUAAGACGAAGGUGGCGAGCGUUACUCGGAUUUACUAGGCGUAAAGCGUGGGCAGGCGGCUCGAUUAGUCUCUUGUGAAAGCCUUGGGCUUAACCCAGGGAGGCCAAGAGAUACUAUCGGGCUUGGAUGUGGGAGAGGAGACUGGAAUUCCCGGUGUAGCGGUGAAAUGCGUUGAUAUCGGGAGGAACACCAAUGGCGAAAGCAAGUCUCUGGACCACCAUCGACGCUCAUCCACGAAAGCUGGGGGAUCAAACAGGAUUAGAUACCCUGGUAGUCCCAGCCGUAAACGAUGCUCAUUAGGUAUGGGGGGUAUCGACCCCUCCCGUGCCGACGCUAACGCAUUAAAUGAGCCGCCUGGGGAGUACGGCCGCAAGGUUGAAACUCAAAGGAAUUGACGGGGGCCC